rnacentral:rRNA from 1 species
CCUACGGGGCGCUGCAGUGGGGAAUAUUGGACAAUGGGCGAAAGCCUGAUCCAGCCAUGCCGCGUGUGUGAAGAAGGCCUUCGGGUUGUAAAGCACUUUCAGUGGGGAAGAAAGCCUUGGGGCUAAUACCCUCGAGGAAGUACAUCACCCACAGAAGAAGCACCGGCUAACUCCGUGCCAGCAGCCGCGGUAAUACGGAGGGUGCGAGCGUUAAUCGGAAUUACUGGGCGUAAAGCGCGCGUAGGCGGUCUGAUAAGCCGGUUGUGAAAGCCCCGGGCUCAACCUGGGAACGGCAUCCGGAACUGUCAGGCUAGAGUGCAGGAGAGGAAGGUAGAAUUCCCGGUGUAGCGGUGAAAUGCGUAGAGAUCGGGAGGAAUACCAGUGGCGAAGGCGGCCUUCUGGACUGACACUGACGCUGAGGUGCGAAAGCGUGGGUAGCAAACAGGAUUACAUACCCCGGUAGUC